UACAGAGGUCCCGAGCGUUGUUCGGAUUCACUGGGCGUAAAGGGUGCGUAGGCGGUUCUGAAAGUCUGAUGUGAAAUCUCCAGGCCCAACCUGGAAACUGCAUUAGAAACUACAGGGCUAGAGGCUCGGAGGGGGAACUGGAAUUCUCGGUGUAGCAGUGAAAUGCGCAGAUAUCGGGAAGAACACCCGUGGCGAAGGCGGCUCUCUGGGACGGUACUGACGCUGAGACGCGAAAGCGUGGGGAGCGAACAGG
rnacentral:rRNA from 1 species